UGGAUCCAGACUUUGAUCAUGGCUCAGGAUAAACGCUGGCGGCGCACAUAAGACAUGCAAGUCGAACGGACUUAACCAUUUGUUUACAUUUGGAGCGGUUAGUGGCGGACUGGUGAGUAACACGUAAGCAAUCUGCCUAUUAGAGGGGAAUAACACUGAGAAAUCAGUGCUAAUACCGCAUAUGCCAUAAUGAUCACAUGAUCGUAGUGGGAAAGGAGUAAUCCGCUAAUAGAUGAGCUUGCGCCUGAUUAGUUAGUUGGUGGGGUAACGGCCUACCAAGACGACGAUCAGUAGCCGGACUGAGAGGUUGAACGGCCACAUUGGGACUGAGAUACGGCCCAGACUCCUACGGGAGGCAGCAGUCGGGAAUAUUGCGCAAUGGAGGAAACUCUGACGCAGUGACGCCGCGUAUAGGAAGAAGGUUUUCGGAUUGUAAACUAUUGUCCACAGGGAAGAGAAAGGACUGUACCUGUGAAGAAAGCUCCGGCUAACUACGUGCCAGCAGCCGCGGUAAUACGUAGGGAGCAAGCGUUAUCCGGAAUUAUUGGGUGUAAAGGGUGCGUAGACGGGAAUCUAAGUUAGUUGUGAAAUCCCUCGGCUCAACUGAGGAACUGCAACUAAAACUGGACUUCUUGAGUGCAGGAGAGGAAAGUGGAAUUCCUAGUGUAGCGGUGAAAUGCGUAGAUAUUAGGAGGAACACCAGUGGCGAAGGCGACUUUCUGGACUGUAACUGACGUUGAGGCACGAAAGUGUGGGGAGCAAACAGGAUUAGAUACCCUGGUAGUCCACACUGUAAACGAUGGAUACUAGGUGUAGGGUGUAUUAAGCAUUCUGUGCCGUCGCAAACGCAGUAAGUAUCCCACCUGGGGAGUACGGCCGCAAGGUUGCAACUCAAAGGAAUUGACGGA
rnacentral:rRNA from 1 species